UACGAAGGGGGCAAGCGUUGUUCGGAAUUACUGGGCGUAAAGGGCGCGUAGGCGGCCGAUCAAGUCAGGCGUGAAAUUCCCGGGCUCAACCUGGGGGCUGCGCUUGAUACUGAUUGGCUUGUAUGCGGGAGAGGAUAGUGGAAUUCCCAGUGUAGAGGUGAAAUUCGUAGAUAUUGGGAAGAACACCGGUGGCGAAGGCGGCUUACUGGUCCGGUUCUGACGCUGAGGCGCGAAAGCGUGGGGAGCAAACAGG
rnacentral:rRNA from 1 species